rnacentral:lncRNA from 1 species
AGCCAUUCGCUUUUCAUUAGAAGAAAGAAGACCGCCAUCCGCUUGAGAGCAAAACUCCAGUGACUGAAGAGCUGUAGAUCUUCUGAAUUUCGAGAGCAGUGAAGUAGGACCAUAGCAGAGGGUGUAUGAAAGACAACACGUUGGAAGGAAGAUUGUUGCAGACAAAAGCAACAUGAUUCAGGAACAUCAUUGAGAUUUUUGGGGAUUGUACAAAAGCAUCUGGUUGGGAGCGUCAUGAAGGAAGAGACAAGACCCUGCCCGAGGAAGCGUACAUGAGAGUAACGUAGGAGCCCGUCCAUAAAUGCAGAACAGCAGCUGUGGGAGGUGAUGGAAGUGUGCUGGAGCAAUGGGAGAAGCUGGUAACUUCUAGGAAGCCAAGAUGACCAGAAUUGUUUUAGAUCAUCAGUAAGUAAAAUUUUCUUAGCCCAUUGGAAGUCUUUUGAUUACCAGUAAACGUUCUCUGAGAAACCACAGUAAAAGAGUAGCUCAAUCAAACAGCUAAAAAGUCUGAAUGAGAAAAUGUUUAAAAAAUAAAUAUCCAGACACUUCAAAAAAU